UACGGAGGAUGCAAGCGUUAUCCGGAAUGAUUGGGCGUAAAGCGUCCGCAGGUGGCUGUGUAAGUCUGCUGUCAAAGAGCGAAGCUCAACUUCGUAAAGGCAGUGGAAACUACACGGCUAGAGUGCGUUCGGGGCAGAGGGAAUUCCUGGUGUAGCGGUGAAAUGCGUAGAGAUCAGGAAGAACACCGGUGGCGAAGGCGCUCUGCUAGGCCGCAACUGACACUGAGGGACGAAAGCUAGGGAGCGAAUGGG
rnacentral:rRNA from 1 species